rfam:Schistosoma margrebowiei strain Zambia genome assembly, scaffold: SMRZ_scaffold0001410
AUGCAGCUGAUGAGUCCAAAAUACGACGAAACGCGCGUUCUGGAU